CCCAGAGCUAGCCUGGCGUCAGUCUCACUGCGCCCUGUGGGUCGGAGUAGUUCCAGACCGACGCAGAUGCGGGGCGAGGGGGCGAGGGACCUAUCCCUGAUGGGAAAAGCGUCCUCAGAUUUCCAGCCAUCCCCAGUGCCCCGCGGUUGCAUAUCCAAACGGCAGAGAAGAAACCAAAGCAUGUUACGCUUGGAGAAAGAAUUUAGGCUUGGGAUUCCCGCCCCGCCUCUUUUGACCACACAGGUAAUCGCUAAAUAAGCUCAUCCUCGCCUGUAAAACGAAAGUGUUCCCUGCGCCUCCCACGCGACCGGGAAGGCGUAUUUGUGUCACCGGGCCUCACACACCACCUAAGGGGGCAGACCGUUUACAGAUGUAAAUGCCAAAUAGGUAUCAAGUUUUGGCGAUCGCUUUGAUGAUCGGGAAGAGUGUUUGCAAACUGCGCCUCUAGUGGGCUCCGGGCAUGUUUCCUGCGGCUGUUGCAUCACGGGAAAGCUCCUAAUUCCUGCCUGGGCCCAGCACAUUCCUGCCUGGCGGGCCGCUGACCGAGCUCCGCAAUGGUUUGGUCUCCGAUGCGGAGGCAGGCCCUCCUGCUUGGCCAAGGCCCCGCCUCCCACGAAACGCCUGCAGGUCCUGAAGCCUGGCCCACUUCACCCCCAUUACUCGAUGGCCCCGUGGGCGUUUUCACCAGAGACACCUGAAACGUAACAUGCCAACGUCGUUAAUGAGUCACAGGAAAGGAGAAAGCCGGCUUUCUCCUGCAUCAUAGUUGUUUUCAGCGUUGGCCCCGCUAUCUAGCGGCGGAUCCGUUCCUCCCGCGAUCCGGGACUUGUUUGACGAGUCUGGUGAUGUGGUUCCAGGGCUAAUGGAACAGAAGGCGCGAGUGGGAAACGCCGGCCGCUGUUCGGCCGAUUGGCGAUCUAGGAACCGCGGAGAGGCAAACCAGCCUCCGAGAAAUCCAUCCGCCCGGAUCCUCCCAUAAAGAAACUGAGACCUGGAGAAGAGAGGUCACGAAAAGACCGUGUGGCAAACUGGGACUCGGAAGAGACUUUCCCAAACCAACCGUGGCCCCCGCAGCCUCCUGAACUAUAAGCUCCGUCUUCCAAUGGACGCCUGACUCAAACUGACUUUUGUGACUGUAAAAUCCAGGGCUGGAUCUGCUUCAGGUGAGGCAUGAUCCAGGAGCCCAGUGAGGUCACCAGGAUCCGGCUUCUCUCUUCACUUUUCUGCUCCAUGUGCUUGGUGAUGACUCUAACGUCAGCAAACAUUUCCUCUCCCAGUCCCAAAAGGACUUUCAGCAGCUUGGACCGCUUCCUGUGUCUUUGUUCAUGCCCCUGAGGGGAAGAAAGAGAAUCUUGUGUUAGCACUACCAGACAAAACGUGAAAACCAAUAUGAUCAGACCCGCUGACGUCCCGGAGAUAUAACCACAAACAUCCUCGCACAAACUCAAAAACCACACACCGCUCCAGGUAACUGGUAUUCAUAGAACUGGUAUUGUCACCUAACUGGUACUCAUAAAAACAAUGGCACGAGAAAGAGUGAAAUCUACAUUCUUCUCAACACACACUGGAGUGUGAGCUUCGGAAGGGCAAGGGUCACUUUUGUCCCAGCCUCUCCCCAGGGCAUGGCCCUGUGCGUUGGGAGCCACGAUGUCGCGGUAAUGAGCAUCAGAUGACUUGGCAAAAGUCGGAAUCCCAGCUCUGCCACUUACACACGUGAACUCUCAUGUGAAAGGGGAACAAAUUCAGGAUCUGUCUGCAGAGUGCUGGGAGCAUCCAACGAAGGAGUAUCUGUAUAUCAAGGUUCUGCAUAAUAUUUUGAGGGGAGACACAGUUCUGAGGCUCAAAGGAAAACGAAAACCACUUUGCCAACUGAUCUCGAAGGCCUUCCAGCGCUCACAUCCCAGCAGCCCGGGGAGAUGAUGGUCUGUGUUUCCUAGUCCUUCGGCCUCUUGCAAAUGAUUCCGGCACCAAAGAGAAACCACACCCAGACGCCUGUCUGCAUGCUGCCUGCUGGGGGGACCAGAUGGCUGUCCCCUCCACCACCCGCCCCCCUGAUGGGAAAAGCUCUCCCUCUGAGUGUGAGACCCAUCACAAAGAAAGGGCUUUCUUCUUUGCCAGGAUCUCACCCUCCACUGCCUCAGAGAGAGCAUCUUCCCUUUGGCCUUUCCUGUUCACGUUCCCCUUAGAAAAUCCAGCGGCCUUGCGGUAAGACGGGGCAUGGUUUUCCCUCUUGGCUAAAUAGUUUCAUGUGCCGUCUCUUGGUGUCCGUGAGAUUGAAACGCAGCUCGUCGAGGCCUGGGCAAGACUAUCUUUUCAUUUGCGUUAAUCACAACUGCUGACAAACAGUAUCUUUCCCAUCUUGCUGAUACAUUACGCCUUUCGUGACGGACAUUUGAUUGCAAAAGCUCUUGACGGUAUUUAACUUGAAGGCAUUUAACUUAAAACCAUUAUUAGAUUUUUGUUUAGCUGUCCCUUGACACUCUCCCCGUCCAAAAAUAAGGCCUUCAGGUACCUCUGAGAUAUUUAAGUACACGUCGUCUUCCGAGACCACCCUCACACCAAAGCAAAUACUUUAAAAGUUGCUUUGUAAUAUUAAAAGAGAAGAGAGAGCGAGAACGCGCGUGAGAGAGAACCGGGCGGGUUUUCCAUGAUUACUAAUUUAGCAGACUCUCUGUUAUGUUUUAUUGAUAGUUCUAAACAUAAAUUUGCCUUUGGUAUACUUUGCUGCUGAUGCCUAAAAUAAGACAUGUAAGAACACAUAAUCCUAUGCCUACGGCUUUGCAGAAUAUUGUACAAAGGCUCUUUGUGGUAACCCAAGCAAGAGAUAUUUAAAUGGCAAAGUGCAGGGCUUAGGCGGUUCAGAUUUGGGCAGAAAGAGACGUCGCUCGCUGCUCGCUGGUGUCGCUCUGAAAACCCCAGCGUUCAUGCAGUUUUAAAUACAACAUUUCUUCUGGUUUUUUCUUGAAUUAGGAAUCCUGAUCUCGCCCACAUUUUAUUAUUUGCAAUGGAAGAAUCGUGUGUGGGAGGCCCCAGGUUCACAGGA